AAUGCCCCCAAAGUCUUCUACCCAUGAGGAAAGCUUUCAAUGGUACUUUCAUCAUUGCUGGGGGCUAUGGUAGGGAAGAAGGCAACGAAGUCAUUUCCAAAAACCAUGCAGAUCUUGUGGCUUAUGGCCGAUGGUUUUUGGCUAAUUCAGAUUUAUUUGCCUAAGAGGUUUGAGCUUGAUGCUCCCCUUAA